ACUGUAAUGCGGCCAGUGGUCGACCACUGCAGGUUCCAAGCCCUGAAAAACACAGAGGACGGU
rnacentral:ribozyme from 2 species